rnacentral:tRNA from 1 species
ACCUUUAGCUCAGUUGGUUAGAGCAGACGGCUCAUAACCGUCCGGUCGUAGGUUCGAGUCCUACAAGGU